UACGUAGGUGGCGAGCGUUAUCCGGAAUUACUGGGCGUAAAGGGUGCGUAGGUGGUUUCUUAAGUCAGAGGUGAAAGGCUACGGCUCAACCGUAGUAAGCCUUUGAAACUGGGAAACUUGAGUGCAGGAGAGGAGAGUGGAAUUCCUAGUGUAGCGGUGAAAUGCGUAGAUAUUAGGAGGAACACCAGUUGCGAAAGCGGCUCUCUGGACUGUAACUGACACUGAGGCACAAAAGCGUGGGAAGCAAACAGGAUUAGAUACCCUGGUAGUCCCUGA
rnacentral:rRNA from 1 species